AAUUAGAAAGCGAAUUUUUGCAUUUAGUUUCGACCUAAACUUUGACUGAUUAGUCUCUAAUUA
rnacentral:tRNA from 1 species